AAAGAGUGUAGUUUUAUACUAUUUAUAUAUAAUAUUUGAUCGUCUAUCUUAUUUAAAACAAAUAUAAUUGUUAUUUUUAUUAUUAUUAGAUGAUAAAACAUAAAUAGUAUAUUAUUUGUGACUUUUUUAAAAAUAUUUCAUAAGUUUUUAAAUAAGACGGACAGCCAAACGUUGAACACGAAAACUCAUGACUAUAUUUAAA
rnacentral:pre_miRNA from 1 species